rnacentral:rRNA from 1 species
UACGGAGGGUGCAAGCGUUAUCCGGAAUUACUGGGUUUAAAGGGUGCGUAGGCGGCAACGUAAGUCAGAAGUGAAAGCUCUCGGCUCAACUGAGGAAUUGCUUUUGAUACUGCGUAGCUUGAAUAAGGUUGAGGUUAGCGGAAUGUGGCAUGUAGCGGUGAAAUGCAUAGAUAUGCCAUAGAACACCAAUUGCGAAGGCA